rnacentral:rRNA from 1 species
AUAAGUAACGAUAAAGCGGGUGAAAAGCCCGCUCGCCGGAAGACCAAGGGUUCCUGUCCAACGUUAAUCGGGGCAGGGUGAGUCGACCCCUAAGGCGAGGCCGAAAGGCGUAGUCGAUGGGAAACAGGUUAAUAUUCCUGUACUUGGUGUUACUGCGAAGGGGGGACGGAGAAGGCUAUGUUGGCCGGGCGACGGUUGUCCCGGUUUAAGCGUGUAGGCUGGUUUUCCAGGCAAAUCCGGAAAACUAAGGCUGAGGCGUGAUGACGAGGCACUACGGUGCUGAAGCAACAAAUGCCCUGCUUCCAGGAAAAGCCUCUAAGCAUCAGGUAACAUCAAAUCGUACCCCAAACCGACACAGGUGGUCAGGUAGAGAAUACCAAGGCGCUUGAGAGAACUCGGGUGAAGGAACUAGGCAAAAUGGUGCCGUAACUUCGGGAGAAGGCACGCUGAUAUGUAGGUGAAGCGACUUGCUCGUGGAGCUGAAAUCAGUCGAAGAUACCAGCUGGCUGCAACUGUUUAUUAAAAACACAGCACUGUGCAAACACGAAAGUGGACGUAUACGGUGUGACGCCUGCCCGGUGCCGGAAGGUUAAUUGAUGGGGUCAGCGCAAGCGAAGCUCUUGAUCGAAGCCCCGGUAAACGGCGGCCGUAACUAUAACGGUCCUAAGGUAGCGAAAUUCCUUGUCGGGUAAGUUCCGACCUGCACGAAUGGCGUAAUGAUGGCCAGGCUGUCUCCACCCGAGACUCAGUGAAAUUGAACUCGCUGUGAAGAUGCAGUGUACCCGCGGCAAGACGGAAAGACCCCGUGAACCUUUACUAUAGCUUGACACUGAACAUUGAGCCUUGAUGUGUAGGAUAGGUGGGAGGCUUUGAAGUGUGGACGCCAGUCUGCAUGGAGCCGACCUUGAAAUACCACCCUUUAAUGUUUGAUGUUCUAACGUUGACCCGUGAUCCGGGUUGCGGACAGUGUCUGGUGGGUAGUUUGACUGGGGCGGUCUCCUCCUAAAGAGUAACGGAGGAGCACGAAGGUUGGCUAAUCCUGGUCGGACAUCAGGAGGUUAGUGCAAUGGCAUAAGCCAGCUUGACUGCGAGCGUGACGGCGCGAGCAGGUGCGAAAGCAGGUCAUAGUGAUCCGGUGGUUCUGAAUGGAAGGGCCAUCGCUCAACGGAUAAAAGGUACUCCGGGGAUAACAGGCUGAUACCGCCCAAGAGUUCAUAUCGACGGCGGUGUUUGGCACCUCGAUGUCGGCUCAUCACAUCCUGGGGCUGAAGUAGGUCCCAAGGGUAUGGCUGUUCGCCAUUUAAAGUGGUACGCGAGCUGGGUUUAGAACGUCGUGAGACAGUUCGGUCCCUAUCUGCCGUGGGCGCUGGAGAAUUGAGGGGGGCUGCUCCUAGUACGAGAGGACCGGAGUGGACGCAUCACUGGUGUUCGGGUUGUCAUGCCAAUGGCACUGCCCGGUAGCUAAAUGCGGAAGAGAUAAGUGCUGAAAGCAUCUAAGCACGAAACUUGCCCCGAGAUGAGUUCUCCCUGACUCCUUGAGAGUCCUGAAGGAACGUUGAAGACGACGACGUUGAUAGGCCGGGUGUGUAAGCGCAGCGAUGCGUUGAGCUAACCGGUACUAAUGAACCGUGAGGCUUAACCUUACAACGCCGAAGGUGUUU